GACGAACGCUGGCGGCGUGCUUAACACAUGCAAGUCGAACGGAAAGGCCCUGCUUUUGUGGGGUGCUAGUGUGGCGAACGGGUGAGUAACAAGUGAGUAACCUGCCCUUGACUUUGGGAUAACUUCAGGAUACUGGGGCUAAUACCGGCUAGAAGCUCUUGCUGCUUGGCGGGGGUUGGAAAGUUUCGGCGGUUGGGUAUGGAAUCGUGGCAUAUCAGCUUGUAGGUGGGGUUGUGGAGUACCAAGGCUUUGACGAGUAGCCGGACUGAGAGGGUGACCGGCCACAGUGGGACUGAGGUACGGCCCGUACUGCUUCGGGCGGCAGCGGUGGAAAAUAGAGCAAGAUGGGCGGAGGGCGGAAGCAGCAACGCCGCGUGCGGGAUGACGGCCAACGGGUUGGAAACCGCUUUCUCCUAUGACGAAGCGUGAUUGACGGUAAUGGGUAAAAAAGCAACGGCUAACUACGUG
rnacentral:rRNA from 1 species